rnacentral:rRNA from 1 species
UACGUAGGCAGCAAGCGUUGUUCGGAGUUACUGGGCGUAAAGGGUGUGUAGGCGGUUAUUUUAGUUUGGUGUGAAAUCUCCCGGCUCAACCGGGAGGGUGCGCCGAAUACUGAAUGACUUGGAGUGCGGGAGAGGAAAGUGGAAUUCCUGGUGUAGCGGUGAAAUGCGUAGAUAUCAGGAGGAACACCGGUGGUGUAGACGGCUUUCUGGACCGUAACUGACGCUGAGACACGAAAGCGUGGGUAGCAAACAGG